UUUCCCUCAGGCAUCCAGCAUUUUGUCUUUAUUUUAAUUCUAUUUUAUUUUGUUUUCUAUUUGUCCCAGAACAUUUGUGCUACUUCCUGUUUACUGUUCUGUCUGCCAUCUUUGUAGUCGUUUUAUAGAUUUUUUUUAUUUGUUUUCCUCUUGAUUGUCUCCCCCAGAACAAUUGACCGGCAAAAAUGGAUCUAGCAGGAGCAUACUUAAUUUUUCUUCGCCAGGACAAGCAUUCCCUUGAGGAACACACCUGCAAGUUUUUGGAUCCUGUUUACUAUAAUGAGGAAACAAAGGAUGAACGAGUUGGCAAAAAUCUCAUGAGAAGCAGUCGAACAUCCUUGACCACCAGAUGCAGAGUUCCUGAUUUGUACUUUUUGUGGUUGGCUGCUGGCUGAUGUUUUUCCAACUGAGUCACAGCAGAACAGCAAAACGCAGUAGAACUUUGAGCUGAAAGAGAAGGCGUAUGACAGUUAUGAGAUUUUUAUUUAUUUAUGAAGCACUCUGACUGUUGUGAAGCUCAGACUGAUAACGGGUCACUUUCAGUGGCAUCACGUUGAUUGUACAUCAAAUUUGGCCUGACAUUAUUUUCCAGAGACAAUAAAAUAUGCAACAGUUUGGAUGAGCUGUAUGAUAGAGAUGAGUCACACCAAACUGGUUAAUGAUUAUAUGACCUGUUGAUUUAAUAUUAUAGUGAGCAGUAUUAUAGGAAUUAUGUUUUUCUAAAUAAGUCAUUAAAGCCACUCCUAUGCCUGACAUUUCUAUUUUGUUGAAACUAAAAAUGCUGGUAUUUUCACAUAGCAUUAAAUAACAUUUUAUUUACAUGUGGUGGAAAAAAUUGUUUGUCACCUAACUAAGACUUGACCCUAAGCCAGUAAAGUUCAUCAUUUGAGUUUUUUUCUUUCUUUUAAUCUCUGCAGCUUUGCGUCAUAACAUUAAGUCUAUAGGCAUUGAAGUAAUUUGUGCUUCUUCAUUUAAAAGAUUGUCCUGUUCGGACAUGUACGCUGAUUAAAAUAUCAUUUGUGCAUUGUGUUGCUCACUAGUGUGAUGUCAUGCAAAGCUAAAAUGUUACUAGUUUGUUCAUAAUAUCUUGGAAAAGUUUUUGAAUUUUGUAUUUUUAAAAUCAGUACAUCAGUAUCUGCAUCUG